AUUGAACGCUGGCGGCAUGCCUUACACAUGCAAGUCGAACGGUAACAGGUUAAGCUGACGAGUGGCGAACGGGUGAGUAAUGUAUCGGAACGUGCCCAGUUGUGGGGGAUAACUGCUCGAAAGAGCAGCUAAUACCGCAUACGACCUGAGGGUGGAAGCGGGGGAUCGCAAGACCUCGCGCAAUUGCAGCGGCCGAUAUCAGAUUAGGUAGUUGGUGGGGUAAAGGCUCACCAAGCCGACGAUCUGUAGCUGGUCUGAGAGGACGACCAGCCACACUGGGACUGGGACACGGCCCAGACUCCUACGGGAGGCAGCAGUGGGGAAUUUUGGACAAUGGGCGCAAGCCUGAUCCAGCCAUGCCGCGUGCGGGAAGAAGGCCUUCGGGUUGUAAACCGCUUUUGUCAGGGAAGAAACGCUCUGGGUUAAUACCCUGGGGUAAUGACGGUACCUGAAGAAUAAGCACCGGCUAACUACGUGCCAGCCGCCGCCGUAAUAC
rnacentral:rRNA from 1 species